rnacentral:rRNA from 1 species
CGAAUUCCAAGCUUAAGUUUGAUCCUGGCUCAUAUUGAACGCUGGCGGCAUGCCUUACACAUGCCAGUCGAACGGUAACAGGUCUUCGGAUGCUGACUAGUGGCGAACGGGUGAGUAAUACAUCGGAACGUGCCCGAUCGUGGGGGAUAACGGAGCGAAAGCUUUGCUAAUACCGCAUACGAUCUACCGAUGAAAGCGGGGGAUCUUCGGACCUCGCGCGGACGGAGCGGCCGAUGGCAGAUUAAGUAGUUGGUGGGAUAAAAGCUUACCCCCCCUACGAUCUGUAUCUGGUCUGAGAGGAUGAUCAGCCACACUGGGACUGAAACACGGCCCAUACUCCUACGGGAGGCACCAGUGGGGAAUUUUGGACAAUGGGCACAGGCCUGAUCCAGCCAUGCCGCGUGCAGGAUGAAGGCCUUCGGGUUGUAAACUGCUUUUGUACGGAACGAAAAGGUGCCUUCUAAUAAAGGGCGCUCAUGACGGUACCGUAAGAAUAAGCACCGGCUAACUACGUGCCAGCAGCCGCGGUAAUACGUAGGGUGCAAGCGUUAAUCGGAAUUACUGGGCGUAAAGCGUGCGCAGGCGGUUUUGUAAGACAGAGGUGAAAUCCCCGGGCUCAACCUGGGAACUGCCUUUGUGACUGCAAGGCUGGAGUGCGGCAUAGGGGGAUGGAAUUCCGCGUGUAGCACUGAAAUGCGUAGAUAUGCGGAGGAACACCGAUGGCGAAGGCAAUCCCCUGGGCCUGCACUGACGCUCAUGCACGAAAGCGUGGGGAGCAAACAGGAUUAGAUACCCUGGUAGUCCACGCCCUAAACGAUGUCACUGGUUGUUGGGUAUUAAUUUACUCAGUCACGAAGCUAACGCGUGAAGUUGACCGCCUGGGGAGUACGGGCCGCAAGGUUGAAACUCAGAUGACAUCGACUGUGCACGCACAACAGCGGUGGAUGAUGUGCUUUAAUUCGAUGCAACGCGAAAACCUUACCUACCUAUGACAUGUAUGGAUCCCGAUAGAUUCGGGAGUGCUCUCAUGAGAGUCAUACACCGCUGCUGCAUGAUGUCGUCAGCUCGUGUCGCUGAGAUGUGGUAGUACCCCACGACGUCAUCCUGCCAUACUGCUACGAAAGGCACUCUACGGUGACUGCCGGUGACCAACGGAGGCACGUGAUC